rnacentral:rRNA from 1 species
AACGAACGCUGGCGGCAGGCCUAACACAUGCAAGUCGAACGAGCUGAGACCUUCGGGUCUCGAUGCUAGUGGCGCACGGGUGAGUAACGCGUGGGAACGUACCCUUUAGUACGGAAUAACCAAGGGAAACUUUGGCUAAUACCGUAUACGCCCUUCGGGGGAAAGAUUUCUCGCUAAAGGAUCGGCCCGCGUCUGAUUAGGUAGUUGGUGAGGUGACGGCUCACCAAGCCGACGAUCAGUAGCUGGUCUGAGAGGAUGAUCAGCCACACUGGGACUGAGACACGGCCCAGACUCCUACGGGAGGCAGCAGUGGGGAAUAUUGGACAAUGGGCGAAAGCCUGAUCCAGCCAUGCCGCGUGAGUGAAGAAGGCCUUCGGGUUGUAAAGCUCUUUCGACGGGGACGAUGAUGACGGUACCCGUAUAAGAAGCCCCGGCAAACUUCGUGCCAGCCGCCGCAGUAACAC